CCUCUAGGCCUACAACGUUUUGAAUAGUUUCAAAUAUUUCAUUCAUAAAUCCCCAGACCCCCUCCCUCUGCUACUACACCAAUGAUGUCAUUUUAUUGCGACCACUCUCUGGAUUGUGGAUUUUACGGACUGCAUUCCCAUGUACUGGGUUUAGCUGGACCGUAUUGGACUGGAGGUGACAGGAUAUGUUGUACCUGCUUCGGACUGGUUCUGUCAUUAACCUACUGAGCUGGUGCUUCUGUCCCAGGCAUCUCCAUCGCAUCGCUCCUAGGCAUCUGAAAGUGUACCGUUGCGCACAGAUCAUGCUGGUAACAAGUUAUUCAAAGGGUCUACCAAUCAUGGCAAAAACAGAAAUCCAGCUCCUCAGCCCAGGCAGUGCCAACAACCCAGCUGAUCCAGGAGCUGCAGCGAGGGGUAGUGAUGACACUCCGGGCACCCCGACUGCCCUCUUCAACCAUUCCCAUGGAAUUCAUCCUGUCCAGCCUCCGUCAGAUAAUCCAGCCCUCCCCCUCCUACUUCCAGAGACUAAUUUGCAGAUUCUAACGGGUAUGUGCUAAGGAGAUGAUGAGUGAACACGCUGCCAGUUUGGUUGCAGUGUGUCACCGAAUUCCGUAGAUUCAUCAUCACUAUGUGGGGUGGAAGCUGCACAGACUACAACAAGGCUUCUGGGACCCCACUCCCCUCAAGCAAGACAUUUACCACCUGCUUCACCUAUGAAG